rnacentral:rRNA from 1 species
AGUGAACGCUGGCGGUAGGCCUAACACAUGCAAGUCGAACGGCAGCACAGUAAGAGCUUGCUCUUACGGGUGGCGAGUGGCGGACGGGUGAGGAAUACAUCGGAAUCUACUUUUUCGUGGGGGAUACCGUAGGAAACCUUACGCUAAUACCGCAUACGACCUACGGGGGAAAGCAGGGGAUCUUCGGCCCUUGCGCGAUUGAUGGAGCCGAUGUCGGAUUAGCUAGUUGGCGGGGUAAAGGCCCACCAAGGCGACGAUCCGUAGCUGGUCUGAGAGGAUGAUCAGCCACACUGGAACUGAGACACGGUCCAGACUCCUACGGGAGGCAGCAGUGGGGAAUAUUGGACAAUGGGCGCAAGCCUGAUCCAGCCAUACCGCGUGGGUGAAGAAGGCCUUCGGGUUGUAAAGCCCUUUUGUUGGGAAAGAAAAGCAGCAGGUUAAUACCCCGCUGUUCUGACGGUACCCAAAGAAUAAGCACCGGCUAACUUCGUG